UAGGGAAUCUUCCGCAAUGGACGCAAGUCUGACGGAGCAAUGCCGCGUGAGUGAAGAAGGAUUUCGGUUCGUAAAACUCUGUUGUUAGAGAAGAACAGCGCAUAGAGUAACUGUUAUGCGUGUGACGGUAUCUAACCAGAAAGCCACGGCUAACUACGUGCCAGCAGCCGCGGUAAUACGUAGGUGGCAAGCGUUGUCCGGAUUUAUUGGGCGUAAAGCGAGCGCAGGCGGUCAAUUAAGUCUGAUGUGAAAGCCCCCGGCUCAACCGGGGAGGGUCAUUGGAAACUGGUUGACUUGAGUGCAGAAGAGGAGAGUGGAAUUCCAUGUGUAGCGGUGAAAUGCGUAGAUAUAUGGAGGAACACCAGUGGCGAAGGCGACUCUCUGGUCUGUAACUGACGCUGAGGUUCGAAAGCGUGGGUAGCAAACAGG
rnacentral:rRNA from 1 species